AUUAUUUAAGAGCUUAACAUUGUAAGUAAAUAAAAAUUAUGAAAGCAAAAAAUUAUGGCGGUAUUUUAAGCUUCUCAGAGGAAUUUGCUCUUUAAUGGAUAAAACGCCAAAAUCUUACUUAAAUUUGUUAGUUCAAUUUGUAUACCACUAUAAAAACAAUUUAUAACUUUAAUUGUUUAAAUUUAUUAAAUUAAAAUAUAUUAAGUCAAGGUGCAGUAAAAAUUUAAGAAUGAAGUGAAUUACAUUACUUUUUAGUGAAAAAAAAAAAUUAUAAUAACACUU
rnacentral:rRNA from 1 species